rnacentral:rRNA from 1 species
UACGUAGGCUGUUUUUUACGUUUAAAUCAAGUAAUCCAAGCGUAACUUUAGAAGUUGAUUUAAAUACGUUAAAACUAGAGAAUUUGAGAAGUAAGUUACAUUUUUAGUGUAAAGGUGAAAUUUAAACAUACUAAAAAGAUAUCCGCACGGCGAAAGCUACUUACUAUUAAAAUUCUGACGCUAAGGUACGAAAGCAUGGGGAUCGAACAGGAUUAGAGACCCUGGUAGUCCAUGCCCUGACCUAUGAGUGUUCGACAUAAUAUUUUUUAAACUUCUAUUGUAUUAGCAAGUUUUUAUUUUAUGUUAAAGCUAACGCGUAAACACUCCGCCUGGGUACUACAGUCGCAAGAUUGAA